ACGCGAAGAACCUUACCUACCCUUGACAUGGCAGGAACUUACCAGAGAUGGUUUGGUGCCCGAAAGGGAACCUGCACACAGGUGCUGCAUGGCUGUCGUCAGCUCGUGUCGUGAGAUGUUGGGUUAAGUCCCGCAACGAGCGCAACCCUUGUCAUUAGUUGCUACGAAAGGGCACUCUAAUGAGACUGCCGGUGACAAACCGGAGGAAGGUGGGGAUGACGUCAAGUCCUCAUGGCCCUUAUGGGUAGGGCUUCACACGUCAUACAAUGGUCGGUACAGAGGGUUGCCAACCCGCGAGGGGGAGCCAAUCCCACAAAGCCGAUCGUAGUCCGGAUCGUAGUCUGCAACUCGACUACGUGAAGUCGGAAUCGCUAGUAAUCGCAGGUCAGCAUACUGCGGUGAAUACGUUCCCGGGCCUUGUACACACCGCCCGUCACACCAUGGGA
rnacentral:rRNA from 1 species